rnacentral:rRNA from 1 species
GAUGAACGCUGGCGGCGUGCCUAAUACAUGCAAGUCGAGCGAACUUUUGGGAGCUUGCCUCCUCAAGUUAUAGGCGGACGGGUGAGUAACACGCGGGUAACCUGUCUGUAAGACUGGGAUAACUCUGGGAAACCCGAGAUAAUAUCGGAUAACAUUUAAGACCACAUGGCGUUCAAUUAAAAGGUGGCUUUUAGCUACCACUUAUAGAUGGAUCCGCGGCGCAUUAGCUAGUUGGUGAGGUAACGGCUUACCAAGGCGACGAUGCGUAGCCGACCUGAGAGGGGGGACGGCCACACUGGGACUGGAACAAGGCCCAAGCUCCUACGGGGAGCAACAAUAAGGAAUCUUCCGCAAAGGGGGGAAAGCUGGCGGGGCAACGCCGCGGGGGGUGAGGAAGCCUUCGGGUCGGAAAGCUCUGUUGUUAAGGGAAAACAAAUAGCGUACGAAAAGAGCGGUACCUUGACGGUACCUAACCAGAAAGCCACGGCUAACUACGUG